UACAGAGGGUGCAAGCGUUGUUCGGAAUUACUGGGCGUAAAGCGUGCGCAGGCGGUUUUGUAAGCCAGAUGUGAAAUCCCCGGGCUUAACCUGGGAAUGGCAUUUGGGACUGCAAGGCUUGAGUGCGGCAGAGGAGACUGGAAUUCCUGGUGUAGCAGUGAAAUGCGUAGAUAUCAGGAGGAACACCGAUGGCGAAGGCAGGUCUCUGGGCUGACACUGACGCUCAUGCACGAAAGCGUGGGGAGCAAACAGG
rnacentral:rRNA from 1 species